GCAGGCGUAGUUCAAUGGCAGAAUGUCAGCUUCCCAAGCUGAACACGCGGGUUCGAUUCCCGUCGCCUGCUCCA
rnacentral:tRNA from 1 species